AAAACGGUUUCAAUUGAAACCACUUUUAUUUUAAAUUACCUUUAA
rfam:Streptococcus henryi strain A-4 genome assembly, contig: IE83DRAFT_scaffold00003.3